rnacentral:rRNA from 1 species
GCAAUGCGCGAAAGCGCGACAAGGGGAUUCCAAGUGCAUGCACUAAGUGUAUGCUUUUCGUGAGUGUAAAAAGCUCACAGAAUAAGGGCUGGGUAAGGCUGGUGCCAGCCGCCGCGGUAAUACCAGCGGCCCUAGUGGUGAUCGUUAUUAUUGGGCCUAAAGCGUCCGUAGCCGGUUCGGUAAAUCUCUGGGUAAAUCGUUGGGCUUAACUCAGCGAAUUCUGGGGAGACUGCCGAACUUGGGACCGGGAGAGGUCGGAGGUACUCCAGGGGUAGGGGUGAAAUCCUGUAAUCCUUGGGGGACCACCGGUGGCGAAAGCGUCCGACCAGAACGGGUCCGACGGUAAGGGACGAAGCCCUGGGUCGCGAACCGGAUUAGAUACCCGGGUAGUCCAGGGUGUAAACGCUGUGCGCUUGGUGUAGGGGGUCCCACGAGGGCAUCCUGUGCCGGAGAGAAGUUGUUAAGCGCACCGCCUGGGGAGUACGGUCGCAAGACUGAAACUUAA